rnacentral:rRNA from 1 species
CCUACGGGUGGCAGCAGUGAGGAAUAUUGGUCAAUGGACGAGAGUCUGAACCAGCCAAGUAGCGUGAAGGAUGACUGCCCUAUGGGUUGUAAACUUCUUUUAUAAAGGAAUAAAACGAGGCACGUGUGCCUUUUUGCAUGUACUUUAUGAAUAAGGAUCGGCUAACUCCGUGCCAGCAGCCGCGGUAAUAAGGAGGAUCCGAGCGUUAUCCGGAUUUAUUGGGUUUAAAGGGAGCGUAGAUGGGUUGUUAAGUCAGUUGUGAAAGUUUGCGGCUCAACCGUAAAAUUGCAAUUGAUACUGGCAGUCGUGAGUACAGUUGAGGUAGGCGGAAUUCGUGGUGUAGCGGUGAAAUGCUUAGAUAUCACGAAGAACCCCGAUUGCGAAGGCAGCUUACUAAACUGUGACUGACAUUGAUGCUCGAAAGUGUGGGUAUCAAACAGGAUUAGAUACCCGAGUAGUC